AGGUCAAAUGGAUUCACUCCGACGGUCUUGAAAACCGUUGGAGCGGGACAACCCCGUUCUCGUGGGUUCGAAUCCCACGCCCU
rnacentral:tRNA from 1 species